AUUUGAUGUUGGGGACAACUUGUGCUCAAUUUUUUGAAUCUCUCCCAGUACUCAUAAAGGGACUCUUCAUGGCUCUGUUUGAUUCCACAGAUCUCUUUUUGCAAGCU